GGGUCAGUAGGUUGGUCGUGCCACCGGUACGUACUGGUCUCACUGAUUCCUCCUUCCUGAAGAGCCGUAAUGCCAUUAAUUUGGUGCUGCGGGGAAACAGGACUGUUACUUUGAAAAAAUUAGAGUGUUUAAAGCAAGCUAACGCUUGAAUACAUUAGCAUGGAAUAAUGAAAUAGGACGAUCGAUCCUAUUUUGUUGGUUUCUAGGAUUGACGUA
rnacentral:rRNA from 1 species